rnacentral:hammerhead_ribozyme from 1 species
AUCCAACUGAUGAGUCCCAAAUAGGACGAAAUAUACAACCUAGAU